AUUUUAUCUGUUUCUGGGGCUUAUGAAGUUCAAUCAAUGAAUCUCUUCAUGUGUAAAUUGCGUAGGUAUGAAUUGUCUGUGUGUUCUUGUUUACAUUGCAUACUAUUUGUUGGAAGCCAUAGUGAUCAGACCUAAACUGUACUUUGAGUGGCUGAAAUGUGCUGUCUGUACUUGUGAUUUUCUUUUAAAUUUCUCCUUUUGGUCUUAGGCUAAGUUUGUUCGGACUGAGAAUAUUUUCCUUAUUUUUUUGUGUAAGGCUGCACAUAGCUUGAGGAGCAUUGAUGUAUGCUAAAAUUUUGAAUUUUGAGUUUUGCUUUCGAUUUGUGUUCUUCUAAAAAAUAGCUGGAAGAAGUAAAUUGCAGAGUAAUUUCUCCGAUUGGAGUUACAUCUGUUCGUAUUGUCAUGUAAUUUUUGCCUUUCUUGUGAAACUCAGGCUUUUUAUGGGUUUAUUGUUAGGUUGAAUCAAAGGUGGUGUGAUUCAGUAAGGAGAAGAUUAGUUCGAGCCAGAUGUUUCAGUGGUUUUGCCAGUGAAAAUUGUGAUCUUCUUCUUCUUUUCACAUUUUCUGAGUAAAUUUAGAUUAGUGCUAUAGGACACAUUGAUGAAAAACUAAUACUAAACCGUUGUUUGGGGAAGCUAUUUAACCAGUUAUGAACAACAACAGAAGUUCUCACUAAGAUUAAUUUAGUACAUUCCUUGACGAUUGCAAAGAUAUACCAUAUGAUUUAUCUGUGUCAAUUUCGAGAAUAACCUAAACAUUCCGCUAAGAAUUGGCUGUUGGCGCAACCGUCUAACAGGUACUACACAGCCCUGUCAAUGAUUUCUCUUAGUGUAAAAAGUACUGCAUUCUUCGCUCCCUGUAUGAAACAUGAACAAAGAUUUGCAUGUGUGAAUAGCAUGAUGGCAUCUUUGAACUAAGGGGAUUCACAUAACCAAGUGGGGAAGAAAAGUUACGACUACGAAGAAACGGGCGAAGAUAUGUUGCCCAUACGUUCACGUUCAAAUCACAAAGAGGCAUGGGUCUUGAAUGAAGUUUUAUACUUCCCUAUCUUUCCAGCAUUAAUGAACAAUUUGGACACACAAGAAGAUAUGGCUGGCAGGAAUUCCGUCUCCCAGAGGAAAAUCUGCUAGAUCUCAAAGCGAGCGCUUAAAGGUUUUAUAGAUCUACACUUGGAGGCUUAAAAGCACAUCCCACGAAACCAACAAUCAACCGUAGCUAAAAAGUCAAAGUACCGAGGAGGCAGAAAACGUGUAUCAUUAAUGCUAUCAUUACAGAAGGUUUUAUGGGAUGGCCAAACACAUUAAACGUGACACAGUGCCGUGCGAUUAUCGUAUACUAACCUGGUGACAAUAAGUGAUUUUGGAUUUUUCCGGUAAGUUCCAUGAAUUCUCCUUGCUUUCCUUUCUUUCAAAUAAACAAGUCUCCUUUUACAUCAUUGCCAUCCAUAACGUAAUUGGUAAUAAAAUCAAAUAUCACAAAAUGAGAUAAUCACUUCAGGUAGAAGUUCCACACUGAUGUUUACUGGCUACUAUAUACAGGUGAUAGUUGGAGUUGCAGACACAACUGAAAUAGAAUAUUGUGGCUUAAAAGCAGAAAGGAAAGUGUAUUAUCCUCUAUAUUGAAUAUGUUUUCCGUGAAACUUUCCACAACUUGCCAUUUAUUUCUUGCCCUCUAAAGGUUGUCUAACAAUUUUAGGAACUCAAUGAAACCAAAUCUAUGCAGGUAAAAAUGAACAUACCUUUUUCUGCUAUUCAAUGGAUGGUGGUGCAGUAAAAAAUUUGCACUUGUGAAUGGAGGAUAAAGUUCCACACCAGGUAAAAGCUAAUCAACUAUUUUGAUUAGUUUACCGAAGCCAUGAAUUGGGGUAUCUGUUCUCUUUGAUCGUGGAGCUUUAUUCUGGAUGUCACGUGACAGUUGUGAUGAUAUGUGCCCAUCUCUAGGAUUUAUUUGUUUUAGACUUUUAGUGCCCACCUGUCGACUUUCGGAAUGAAUGUAUGAUCAACCUCAUGAGAUUUACGGACCUUGCCAUAAUUCUGGUCUUGGAGAGAUGGCAAUGAUUUAUGAUUGGCAGGAGUGGAAGUAAUAAUUUCCAAAGCACUUUUAUUGUUGAUUUCAAAAAAAAUUGGCUACAAAUGAAGCUUUUUCAUUCUGUUUGUUUUUGUCGUUCAAAAAAAUUAUGUUUAUUUUUGGAGAUGGGAUUGUUAUUCUGCCCAUUGCUCUACAAGUUCCGUUUCCUCUAUGUUAUGUCGCAUCACACCAACUCCACAUAGCUAGCCAGUGCAAGUGCGGAGGAAUCUUCAAAUCUGUGACAGGUAGCUCCAAGAAGCAGUAUCGGAUUUGUUAAAAACUGCUGAGAGCAGAUUCAAUUCUUCUCUUUAAUUGUGAAGCAAAAAAUGUUGUGUUGUUUAGAGCAACACACUGGUUUUCACAUAUAAUGUUCUCUGUGUUGUUUAGAGCAACACACUGGGUUUCUUAUUCAAGACAGCACAAGAGGUUUCUAGGUAUGAAGAAUUUUGCUCAUCUGAUGCUUGAUUGAAACCACAGCCAACAUUUGAUAGUGGUGGGAGCACUGACCCAAAUUUUGGCUUUAUGUUUCUCCCUUAUUUGGAACUUUGCCUAUAAAACAUCAAACAUUCUAUUGGGAUUAUAAGUGGUGGGACAUCGUUGGUGUGUCUGAACCAUAGAAAUUUCUAUGUUUCUUGUUUUCGAUGCGUAUGCACUGCUUUACAUAGUUGCACUUUUUUUGGUUAACGCACGAGGUCACUCUAAAUUAGGUUAACUGACUAAAUGUCUCUUGUAA